rnacentral:rRNA from 1 species
AGCGUACAAGGUGGAUGCCUUGGCAAUCAGAGGCGACGAAGGACGUGCUAAUCUGCGAAAAGCUUGGAUGAGUCGAUAAGAGGCGUUUAAUCCAAGAUGUCCGAAUGGGGAAACCCAGUGGGUGAAGAACCCACUAUCAUUAUCUGAAUCCAUAGGAUAAUGAGGCGAACCGGGAGAACUGAAACAUCUAAGUACCCCGAGGAAAAGAAAUCAACCGAGAUUUCGUUAGUAGCGGCGAGCGAACGCGAAGGAGCCUGUUAGUGAUAAUGACAGAGACAGAGGAACAAGCUGGGAAGCUUGGCGAUACAGGGUGAUAGCCCCGUACUCGAAGUCCAGGUCAUGGUACUAAGCUAACGACAAGUAGGGCGGGACACGUGAUAUCCUGUUUGAAGAUGGGGGGACCAUCCUCCAAGGCUAAAUACUCCUGAUUGACCGAUAGUGAACCAGUACUGUGAAGGAAAGGCGAAAAGAACCCCGGUGAGGGGAGUGAAAUAGAACCUGAAACCUUGUACGUACAAGCAGUGGGAGCCCUUUAAGGGUGACUGCGUACCUUUUGUAUAAUGGGUCAGCGACUUAUAUUUUGUAGCGAGGUUAACCGAAUAGGGGAGCCGAAGGGAAACCGAGUCUUAACUGGGCGUCUAGUUGCAAGGUAUAGACCCGAAACCCGGUGAUCUAGCCAUGGGCAGGUUGAAGGUUGGGUAACACUAACUGGAGGACCGAACCGACUAAUGUUGAAAAAUUAGCGGAUGACUUGUGGCUGGGGGUGAAAGGCCAAUCAAACCGGGAGAUAGCUGGUUCUCCCCGAAAUCUAUUUAGGUAGAGCCUUGAGCGGACACCUUCGGGGGUAGAGCACUGUUUCGGCUAGGGGUCCAUCCCGGAUUACCAACCCGAUGCAAACUACGAAUACCGAAGAGUGAUACUCAGGAGACACACGGCGGGUGCUAACGUCCGUCGUGGAGAGGGAAACAACCCAGACCGCCAGCUAAGGUCCCAAAGUCUAUAUUAAGUGGGAAACGAAGUGGGAAGGCUUAGACAGCUAGGAUGUUGGCUUAGAAGCAGCCAUCAUUUAAAGAAAGCGUAAUAGCUCACUAGUCGAGUCGGCCUGCGCGGAAGAUGUAACGGGGCUCAAAUAUAGCACCGAAGCUGCGGCAUCAGUAGCAAUACUGUUGGGUAGGGGAGCGUUCUGUAAGCGGAUGAAGAUGGCUCGAGAGGGCUGUUGGACGUAUCAGAAGUGCGAAUGCUGACAUAAGUAACGAUAAAACGGGUGAAAAACCCGUUCGCCGGAAGACCAAGGGUUCCUGUCCAACGUUAAUCGGGGCAGGGUGAGUCGGCCCCUAAGGCGAGGCUGAAAAGCGUAGUCGAUGGGAAACGGGUUAAUAUUCCCGUACUUGGAUAAACUGCGAUGUGGGGACGGAGCAGGUUAGGUUAUCGCACUGUUGGAUAUGUGCGUUUAAGUUGGUAGGUGUGAAGUUUAGGCAAAUCCGGACUUCUUUAACACUGAGAGAUGAUGACGAGGCUCUACGGAGCUGAAGUAACCGAUACCACACUUCCAGGAAAAGCCACUAAGCUUCAGGUUUAUCUAAACCGUACUGAAAACCGACACAGGUGGUCAGGUAGAGAAUACUCAGGCGCUUGAGAGAACUCGGGUGAAGGAACUAGGCAAAAUAGCACCGUAACUUCGGGAGAAGGUGCGCCGGCGUAGAUUGUAGUCCCUUGCGGAUGAAGGUUGAACCGGUCGAAGAUACCAGCUGGCUGCAACUGUUUAUUAAAAACACAGCACUCUGCAAACACGAAAGUGGACGUAUAGGGUGUGACGCCUGCCCGGUGCUGGAAGGUUAAUUGAAGAUGUGAGAGCAUCGGAUCGAAGCCCCAGUAAACGGCGGCCGUAACUAUAACGGUCCUAAGGUAGCGAAAUUCCUUGUCGGGUAAGUUCCGACCUGCACGAAUGGCAUAAUGAUGGCCAGGCUGUCUCCACCCGAGACUCAGUGAAAUUGAAAUCGCCGUGAAGAUGCGGUGUACCCGCGGCUAGACGGAAAGACCCCGUGAACCUUUACUAUAGCUUGACACUGAACAUUGAAUUUUGAUGUGUAGGAUAGGUGGGAGACUUUGAAGUAGUCACGCCAGUGAUUAUGGAGUCGUCCUUGAAAUACCACCCUUUAACGUUUGAUGUUCUAACGAAGAUUACGAAACGUGGUCUCGGACAGUGUCUGGUGGGUAGUUUGACUGGGGCGGUCUCCUCCCAAAGAGU